GAUGAACGCUGACAGAAUGCUUAACACAUGCAAGUCUACUUGAAGCACUUUCGGGUGUGGAUGGUGGCGGACGGGUGAGUAACGCGUAAAUAACUUGCCCCCUAGUCUGGGACAACUGUUGGAAACGACAGCUAAUACUAGAUAUUAUGAAGCUUCGGCAUCAAGGUUUUAUGAAAGCUAUAUGCGCUAGGGGAGAGAUUUGCGCGCUAUUAGCUAGUUGGUGAGGUAAUGGCUCACCAAGGCGACGAUAGGUAGCCGGCCUGAGAGGGUGAACGGCCACAAGGGGACUGAGACACGGCCCUUACUCCUACGGGAGGCAGCAGUGGGGAAUAUUGGACAAUGGACCAAAAGUCUGAUCCAGCAAUUCUGUGUGCUUGAUGAAGGCCUUCGGGUUGUAAAGAGCUUUAAGUAGGGAAGAAGAAAGUGACGGUACCUACAGAAUAAGCGACGGCUAAAUACGUGCCAGCAGCCGCGGUAA
rnacentral:rRNA from 1 species